GAUUAACGCUGGCGGCGUGCAUAAAACAUGCAAGUCGAACGAGGAAACUAGGAAAAUUCCUCGGGAAGGACACAAGGGGACUUAUGGGGAAACGGGGGAUAAACGCGGGAGUAACCUGCUUUACACAAGGGGAAACCCUUUGGAAACGAAAAAAAAUACCCAAAAAAACAAUAAAAGAAAAUCCAAGAAGGGUCAAAGUGAUAGCGGUGUAAGUUGGACUUGCGUCUGAUUAGCUAGUUGGUGAGAUAAAAGCUCACCAAGGCAACGAUCAGAAGCCGGCUUGAGAGAGUGUACGGCCACAUUGGGACUGAGACACGGCCCAGACUCCUACGGGAGGCAGCAGUGGGGAAUUUUGCACAAUGGGGGAAACCCUGAUGCAGCGACGCCGCGUGAUUUAGAAGGCCUUCGGGUUGUAAAAAUCUUUUGUAUAGGAAGAAAAUGACAGUACUAUACGAAUAAGGUCCGGCUAAUUACGUG
rnacentral:rRNA from 1 species